CCUACGGGUGGCAGCAGUGAGGAAUAUUGGUCAAUGGGCGCGAGCCUGAACCAGCCAAGUCGCGUGAGGGAAGAAGGUGCCAAGCAUUGUAAACUUCUUUUGUCAAGGGACAAAAUCAGGCUCGAGAGCCUGACCGAGGGUACUUGAAGAAAAAGCAUCGGCUAACUCCGUGCCAGCAGCCGCGGUAAUACGGAGGAUGCGAGCGUUAUCCGGAUUUAUUGGGUUUAAAGGGUGCGCAGGCGGUCUGUUAAGUCAGCGGUCAAAGCCCGGGGCUCAACCCCGGCCCGCCGUUGAAACUGGCAGUCUCGAGUUGGAGAGAAGUAUGCGGAAUGCGCGGUGUAGCGGUGAAAUGCAUAGAUAUCGCGCAGAACUCCGAUUGCGAAGGCAGCAUGCCGGCUCCACACUGACGCUGAGGCACGAAAGCGUGGGUAUCGAACAGGAUUAAAUACCCCAGUAGUC
rnacentral:rRNA from 1 species